GUGCAGCAGUCGCGAAUACUCCACAAUGCGCGAAAGCGUGAUGGGCCAUCCCGAGUGCCGUCCGCUGAGGACGGCUUUUCCCCGGUGUACACAGCCGGGGGAAUAAGGAGAGGGCAAGCCUGGUGUCAGCCGCCGCGGUAAUACCAGCUCUCCGAGUGGUGGGGACGAUUAUUGGGCCUAAAGCGUCCGGUAGCCGGCUCGGCAUGUCUCCCGUUAAAUCCAACGAU
rnacentral:rRNA from 1 species